rnacentral:rRNA from 1 species
CCUACGGGUGGCAGCAGUGGGGAAUAUUGCACAAUGGGGGGAACCCUGAUGCAGCAACGCCGCGUGGGUGAAGAAGUACUCCGGUAUGUAACGCCCUGUUAGCAGGGGAGAAAAUGACGGUACCUGACCAAGAAGCCCCGGCUAACUACGAGCCAGCAGCCGCGGUAAUACGGAGGGGGCAAGCGUUAUCCGGAUUUACUGGGUGUAAAGGGAGCGUAGACGGGAAGGCAAGUCUGGAGUGAAAGCCCGUGGCUCAACCACGGGACUGCUUUGGAAACUGUGUUGCUGGAGUGCAGGAGGGGUAAGCGGAAUUCCUGGUGUAGCGGUGAAAUGCGUAGAUAUUAGGAAGAACCCCGAUGGCGAAGGCGGCUUACUGGCCUGUAACUGACGUUGAGGCUCGAAGGCGUGGGGAGCGAACAGGAUUAGAUACCCCAGUAGUC